rnacentral:rRNA from 1 species
UGUGAGCUCGAUGAGUAGGGCGGGACACGUGGUAUCCUGUCUGAAUAUGGGGGGACCAUCCUCCAAGGCUAAAUACUCCUGACUGACCGAUAGUGAACCAGUACCGUGAGGGAAAGGCGAAAAGAACCCCGGCGAGGGGAGUGAAAAAGAACCUGAAACCGUGUACGUACAAGCAGUGGGAGCACGCUUAGGCGUGUGACUGCGUACCUUUUGUAUAAUGGGUCAGCGACUUAUAUUCUGUAGCAAGGUUAACCGAAUAGGGGAGCCGAAGGGAAACCGAGUCUUAACUGGGCGUUAAGUUGCAGGGUAUAGACCCGAAACCCGGUGAUCUAGCCAUGGGCAGGUUGAAGGUUGGGUAACACUAACUGGAGGACCGAACCGACUAAUGUUGAAAAAUUAGCGGAUGACUUGUGGCUGGGGGUGAAAGGCCAAUCAAACCGGGAGAUAGCUGGUUCUCCCCGAAAGCUAUUUAGGUAGCGCCUCGUGAAUUCAUCUCCGGGGGUAGAGCACUGUUUCGGCAAGGGGGUCAUCCCGACUUACCAACCCGAUGCAAACUGCGAAUACCGGAGAAUGUUAUCACGGGAGACACACGGCGGGUGCUAACGUCCGUCGUGAAGAGGGAAACAACCCAGACCGCCAGCUAAGGUCCCAAAGUCAUGGUUAAGUGGGAAACGAUGUGGGAAGGCCCAGACAGCCAGGAUGUUGGCUUAGAAGCAGCCAUCAUUUAAAGAAAGCGUAAUAGCUCACUGGUCGAGUCGGCCUGCGCGGAAGAUGUAACGGGGCUAAACCAUGCACCGAAGCUGCGGCAGCGACGCUUAUGCGUUGUUGGGUAGGGGAGCGUUCUGUAAGCCUGCGAAGGUGUGCUGUGAGGCAUGCUGGAGGUAUCAGAAGUGCGAAUGCUGACAUAAGUAACGAUAAAGCGGGUGAAAAGCCCGCUCGCCGGAAGACCAAGGGUUCCUGUCCAACGUUAAUCGGGGCAGGGUGAGUCGACCCCUAAGGCGAGGCCGAAAGGCGUAGUCGAUGGGAAACAGGUUAAUAUUCCUGUACUUGGUGUUACUGCGAAGGGGGGACGGAGAAGGCUAUGUUGGCCGGGCGACGGUUGUCCCGGUUUAAGCGUGUAGGCUGGUUUUCCAGGCAAAUCCGGAAAACUAAGGCUGAGGCGUGAUGACGAGGCACUACGGUGCUGAAGCAACAAAUGCCCUGCUUCCAGGAAAAGCCUCUAAGCAUCAGGUAACAUCAAAUCGUACCCCAAACCGACACAGGUGGUCAGGUAGAGAAUACCAAGGCGCUUGAGAGAACUCGGGUGAAGGAACUAGGCAAAAUGGUGCCGUAACUUCGGGAGAAGGCACGCUGAUAUGUAGGUGAAGUCCCUCGCGGAUGGAGCUGAAAUCAGUCGAAGAUACCAGCUGGCUGCAACUGUUUAUUAAAAACACAGCACUGUGCAAACACGAAAGUGGACGUAUACGGUGUGACGCCUGCCCGGUGCCGGAAGGUUAAUUGAUGGGGUUAGCGCAAGCGAAGCUCUUGAUCGAAGCCCCGGUAAACGGCGGCCGUAACUAUAACGGUCCUAAGGUAGCGAAAUUCCUUGUCGGGUAAGUUCCGACCUGCACGAAUGGCGUAAUGAUGGCCAGGCUGUCUCCACCCGAGACUCAGUGAAAUUGAACUCGCUGUGAAGAUGCAGUGUACCCGCGGCAAGACGGAAAGACCCCGUGAACCUUUACUAUAGCUUGACACUGAACAUUGAGCCUUGAUGUGUAGGAUAGGUGGGAGGCUUUGAAGUGUGGACGCCAGUCUGCAUGGAGCCGACCUUGAAAUACCACCCUUUAAUGUUUGAUGUUCUAACGUUGACCCGUAAUCCGGGUUGCGGACAGUGUCUGGUGGGUAGUUUGACUGGGGCGGUCUCCUCCUAAAGAGUAACGGAGGAGCACGAAGGUUGGCUAAUCCUGGUCGGACAUCAGGAGGUUAGUGCAAUGGCAUAAGCCAGCUUGACUGCGAGCGUGACGGCGCGAGCAGGUGCGAAAGCAGGUCAUAGUGAUCCGGUGGUUCUGAAUGGAAGGGCCAUCGCUCAACGGAUAAAAGGUACUCCGGGGAUAACAGGCUGAUACCGCCCAAGAGUUCAUAUCGACGGCGGUGUUUGGCACCUCGAUGUCGGCUCAUCACAUCCUGGGGCUGAAGUAGGUCCCAAGGGUAUGGCUGUUCGCCAUUUAAAGUGGUACGCGAGCUGGGUUUAGAACGUCGUGAGACAGUUCGGUCCCUAUCUGCCGUGGGCGCUGGAGAACUGAGGGGGGCUGCUCCUAGUACGAGAGGACCGGAGUGGACGCAUCACUGGUGUUCGGGUUGUCAUGCCAAUGGCACUGCCCGGUAGCUAAAUGCGGAAGAGAUAAGUGCUGAAAGCAUCUAAGCACGAAACUUGCCCCGAGAUGAGUUCUCCCUGACUCCUUGAGAGUCCUGAAGGAACGUUGAAGACGACGACGUUGAUAGGCCGGGUGUGUAAGCGCAGCGAUGCGUUGAGCUAACCGGUACUAAUGAACCGUGAGGCUUAACCUUACAACGCCGAAGGUGUUU